UUCACUGGAAACUGAAUCCAGUAAACAAAAGUGAGGUUACCCUUUUGUUUCUUUCUUUUCAUUACAGAAGUCAAACCAAAUCUUUAAAAGAAAACAUUAGGCGGCAGCUCGAGUAUUAGUACUCGAUUUAUUCUUCUUCUUCCCUUGGUAUUCAAGAAUUCACUAGAAGAGGAAAGGAGGAAAGGAUUCUUAUGAUACUUUUGAAAUAAUCUCUAAGAGGUGACUUCAAUAAUCUAAGGUUGGGAUUGAAUUUUAAUAGCUAGUGGAUUGCCUAUUGGAUAACGGAAGUUGGUGGUUGGAAAGAUAAAAGCUAUACUCCCGCAAGUAAUGUUAUUUGGGAACCUGAAAUACCAUCGUAGCUAGUAAGCACUAAGGCUCCAAUCCUCCUGAUAGCAGACGUCCACGUUAGGCUCUUUUGCCAUUUCCAGCUGGUAUUUUGGUGAGCUCUAACUCUCUCUGGAGCCAGUUCAUGACUAGUAUUUUGAUUGUGUAUAGAUCUCUGGUUAGGCAUGAUGGGCCUAUUGCCAACUAGUCAUUUGUAGUGUAGUGUGUUAAACUGACUAGAGGCUUCAUGGACAUCGUGUAGUAUUGUAUAGUUUCAUUAAUGUAACUCUCUCAUGUAUAUAUGCAACGCUUGUCAACUGUCUUACCCGUUAUUAUCUUAUGACCUUGCAUACAUCGUAAAGUGCUUGUAGAUUAAGUAUAUACGAUUUUUGUCCGUUAUUAUUAUUUUGGGGCGUGACAAUAGGAAAAGUCCAAUUACCUACAAGUGACUUGGCAUCAGUUUCCCUUAUAGGUGACUUUCAAUUAAAUACAGAAGACAAGAUUAGUGAUGUGUUGUGUGUUCCAACAUUCAAAUUUAACCUUUUGUCUGUUAACAAACUGACAAAGGAAUUGAAUUAUUGUAUUUCCUUCUUCCCCACAUAUUGCAUAUUUCAGGACCUUUUAUCUGGGAAGGUCAAGGGUAUUGGUGAUGUAGAAGACGGCUUGUAUGUCCUAAACUGGAAGAAACAAAAGAAAAGAUGUAAAAUCAUAUCUGCUGUUACUAAGUUUGAAGAUCCAGCUAUUUGGCACAAAAGAUUAGGUCAUAUUCCCAUGAGUGUUCUUAGAAGAAUAAAAGAAUUCAAUAAUAAUGGUAGUUUUGCUAUAGAUCAUUGUGAUAUUUGUCCUCAAGCUAGACAAACCAGAAUUCCAUUCCCUUCUAGUAGCACAAGUUCAGAUGUUUUUUAUUUAGUUCAGAUGGAUCUUUGGGGACCUUACAAGGUCCCUACUCACUCUGGAAGGAGAUAUUUCCUUACUUUAGUAGAUGACAAGUCUCGAUGGACAUGAACUUUUUUGCUCACUCAAAAAUCUGAUGUAAUUUUUGUUCUGAGACAAUUUCUACUAAUGAUAAAGAACCAGUUUAACAGGUGUGUUGGAGUGUUCAGAACAGAUAAUGGAGUAGAAUUCUUUAAUGCUAAUUGUCAUGAACUAUUUACUAUGCAUGGUAUUAUCCAUCAAAGAUCUUGUCCUUACACUCCACAACAAAAUGGUGUUGUAGAGAGAAAGCACAGACACCUACUGGAAACUACAAGAGCUAUCAAAUUUCAAGGCUGCUUACCUAGCAAAUACUGGGGAAAAUGUGUUGAAGCUACUACAUACAUCAUAAAUAGGAUACCUCUGUCCAUUUUGGGGAAUAAGUCACCAUAUGAGCUAUUCUAUGGGAAUGGGCCAUCUUUAUCUCACAUUAAGGUGAUAGGAUAUCUUGCUUUUGCUAUAAACCUAUUGAAAGGUG